rnacentral:rRNA from 1 species
UGACGAGUGGCGGACGGGUGAGUAAUGCUUGGGAACGUGCCUUUGGGUGGGGGAUACCAGUUGGAAACGACUGUUAAUACCGCAUGACGACUGAGGUCCAAAGGGGGCGUCUACUUCGGUAGAGCUCUCGCCUGGAGAGCGGCCCAAGUGAGAUUAGCUAGUUGGUGAGGUAAAGGCUCACCAAGGCGACGAUCUCUAGCUGUUCUGAGAGGAAGAUCAGCCACACUGGGACUGAGACACGGCCCAGACUCCUACGGGAGGCAGCAGUGGGGAAUAUUGCGCAAUGGGGGGAACCCUGACGCAGCCACGCCGCGUGUGUGAAGAAGGCCUUCGGGUUGUAAAGCACUUUCAGUGAUGAGGAAGGUGAUGUAGUUAAUACCUGCAUCAAUUGACGUUAGUCACAGAAGAAGCACCGGCUAACUCCGUGCCAGCAGCCGCGGUAAUACGGAGGGUGCGAGCGUUAAUCGGAAUUACUGGGCGUAAAGCGCACGCAGGCGGUUAUAUAAGCUAGAAGUGAAAGCCCCGGGCUCAACCUGGGAAGGCCUUUUAGAACUGUAUGACUAGAGUAUUGGAGAGGGGAGUGGAAUUCCACGUGUAGCGGUGAAAUGCGUAGAUAUGUGGAGGAACAUCAGUGGCGAAGGCGACUCUCUGGCCGAUUACUGACGCUCAUGUGCGAAAGUGUGGGUAGCGAACAGGAUUAGAUACCCUGGUAGUCCACACUGUAAACGCUGUCUACUAGCUGUGUGUUCCUUUAAGGAGUGCGUAGCGCAGCUAACGCGAUAAGUAGACCGCCUGGGGAGUACGGCCGCAAGGUUAAAACUCAAAUGAAUUGACGGGGGCCCGCACAAGCGGUGGAGCAUGUGGUUUAAUUCGAUGCAACGCGA